UGAUUCAGAAGACAUUAUUUAAGAAUGGUCUUAGCAUUCCCUGUAUUAGAGCUGCAACUAUGAAGGAUGCCAUCAACUGUGCCAGGAGGAUGGCAAAAUUUGGGGAUGCUAUCGUGCUUAGUCCAGGUUGUGCGAGCUUUGAUGAAUUCAAGAAUUUUGAGCACAGAGGGAUGGUUUUUCAGGAGCUUGCCUCUUCAUCAUAGUGGUAGCAUGGAAAUCAGCUUGUAAAAUGUGAACUAGGGCAACAGACAUGCGUCUCUUCCUGUUAGAGAAGGU